GACGAACGCUGGCGGCGUGCCUAAUACAUGCAAGUUGAGCGCUGAAGGUUGGUACUUGUACCAACUGGAUGAGCAGCGAACGGGUGAGUAACGCGUGGGGAAUCUGCCUUUGAGCGGGGGACAACAUUUGGAAACGAAUGCUAAUACCGCAUAAAAACUUUAAACACAAGUUUUAAGUUUGAAAGAUGCAAUUGCAUCACUCAAAGAUGAUCCCGCGUUGUAUUAGCUAGUUGGUGAGGUAAAGGCUCACCAAGGCGAUGAUACAUAGCCGACCUGAGAGGGUGGUCGGCCACAUUGGGACUGUGACACGGCCCAAACUCCUACGGGAGGCAGCAGUAGGGAAUCUUCGGCAAUGGACGAAAGUCUGACCGAGCAACGCCGCGUGAGUGAAGAAGGUUUUCGGAUCGUAAAACUCUGUUGGUAGAGAAGAACGUUGGUGAGAGUGGAAAGCUCAUCAAGUGACGGUAACUACCCAGAAAGGGACGGCUAACUACGUG
rnacentral:rRNA from 1 species